ensembl:lncRNA
AUGGUGCAGCUGUGGAACCUGGGAAGAGAAAAGGCGGACAUGGCUGUGCGUGAGCCCGUUGUGGUCACGAAUCCGGCUUGGACCCCUGCGUUAGGCUGCAGAAGCCGGCCUCGCCAGCCUGCUGCGUCUCAGGACCUGCGGCUCCGCUCCUCCAGGUGCUCAGGUAGGAAGCUCAGACCCAGCCCGCCUCUCGCUGCAGGCCCCGGGCCCACCUGCACCCCUGUCCCCCCACUCCAUCCAGCUGCAGGCCCCCGGCUCACGUGGUCUGAGUCACUCCGCUCACGUCUUCCUGUGGCCACCGGAGUCGUCACUGGCUGUGCGUCGGGACUGGACUGGCGUCAGCACCUGCCCCCCACCCCCCCGGUGGCCCACACCCGCCUCCUGCCACCAGGUGCUGGGGGGGCUCACUCCCUGAAGCUUUCCCUGCCCCGUCUGGUUGCCUGGAUCCCGUCACACCUGGCAUUUGCCUGCACCCGUGUCACCUGGUGCAGCCGUGUGCCAGUGUGCACCAGUGCCUGGGACAGAACAGGUGUGUGUUGGAGGCAGGAGUGACCUCACAUUAGGCUGGUGAGGGCGCUGGUCCCCGCUGGUGGCCGCAGCACGCCCCGGCCGACUCCGUAGCCUUGGCCGAUCACACAGCCCCUCGGCUGUAAAGGAGCACCCUGGGGGCUGCACGUGUGCACGCGUGUCCUAGUGCCCACUCAGGAGGUGGCCUGGACGCCCUCCGGUAGCUGUCUCGCUGCUAACUCCAUCCCUGUGUGUGUGACCUGGGCUGGACUGACUUGGUAGCUCCGUGCAGCUCCGUCCCCAAAGGUGUCCUUCCUGGUGACCUUCGCUGGUCCUGCUGGUAUGGGUUGACCUCCACGUAGCCCUCAGCCCCCACAGCGCCGCUGGCCUGCGCCAGCUCUGUGCGCGUCCUGCCUGCGUCCCCGUGGCGUGGCAGGUCCUGCGGUGGCCCCGGCCUGUGAUUCUGAGGCUCUGUGGUGUUGUGAGCAGACGGGCCCCGUGCAGGUGCUGGGUCGCACGCGUGUGCGGGAGUGCCGUGUCAGCGCCUCCCUGGAUCUUUCUGGCCCUGCCUUCGCGGUCCCCUCCCGUCAACUCAGGUGGCAUCGUCCCAGGGACCCUGUGGGCAGCCGCCCCUGCCCCCUCCCCGCCACUCCGCCCCUCCGCUGGUCUCUGUGUGGCGCCACCUGCUGUUUGCCGGGUGGAUUCUCUCUCCACCUUUUCUGCUCCAGGAGAGUAGGCGCGCAGGCCCAGAACAGUGUCCGUGUGGGGGCGUCUGCUGGGAGUUUGGGGGCAGUGGAUGUGGCUGGAAGUGCCCCUGACCGUCGGGGGGACCACUGACACUCACGCGGUGUUGACGAUGCCUUCUUCUCUUGGUGCAAAGCUGGGAUUUACAAACACACGAUGUGGCGGUGGGCAUUGUCUGUCCCGGGUCUGCUUCAGCUCCAGCUCCCUGCUGCGUGCGCCCUGGAAAGCAGCAGGCGGCGGCUCACAGAGUUGCAUCCUUGCCCCGUGGGAGAGCUGGACUGAACGCCUGGCUCCUGACCGA